rnacentral:rRNA from 1 species
AUUCCAGCUCCAAUAGCGUAUAUUAAAGUUGUUGCAGUUAAAAAGCUCGUAGUCGGAUUUUGGCAUCACGCCGAACUGUCUGCCGAUUGGUAAGUACGGUUUGGCGGGUGCUUCCUUCCGGAGGCUCGUUCCCUUCUUCAUUGAAGGGUUCGUUGGUUCCGGGUCUUUUACUUUGAGAAAAUUAGAGUGUUCAAAGCAGGCCUAUGCUCUGAAUAGGUUAGCAUGGAAUAAUAGAAUAGGACUUUGGUUCUAUUUUAUUGGUUUCGAACACCGGAGUAAUGAUUAACAGGGACAGUCAGGGGCACUCGUAUUCCGCCGAGAGAGGUGAAAUUCUCAGACCAGCGGAAGACGAACCACUGCGAAAGCAUUUGCCAGGGAUGUUUUCAUCA